UACGUAGGAGGCGAGUGUUGUCCGGAAUUACUGGGCGUAAAGGGCGCGCAGGCGGCCCUCCAAGUCAGGCGUGAAAGCCCCGGGCUCAACCCGGGAAUAGCGCUUGAGACUGGGGGGCUUGAGUUCGGGAGAGGAGAGUGGAAUUCCCAGUGUAGAGGUGAAAUUCGUAGAUAUUGGGAAGAACACCGGUGGCGAAGGCGGCUCUCUGGACCGACACUGACGCUGAGGCGCGAAAGCGUGGGGAGCAAACAGG
rnacentral:rRNA from 1 species